rnacentral:rRNA from 1 species
AUUGAACGCUGGCGGCAUGCCUUACACAUGCAAGUCGAACGGCAGCGGGGGAGAAGCUUGCUUUUCUUGCCGGCGAGUGGCGAACGGGUGAGUAAUACAUCGGAACGUGCCCUGUAGUGGGGGAUAACUAGUCGAAAGAUUAGCUAAUACCGCAUACGACCUGAGGGUGAAAGUGGGGACGGCAAGGCCUCAUGCUAUAGGAGCGGCCGAUGUCUGAUUAGCUAGUUGGUGGGGUAAAGGCCUACCAAGGCGACGAUCAGUAGCUGGUCUGAGAGGACGAUCAGCAACACUGGGACUGAGACACGGCCCAGACUCCUACGGGAGGCAGCAGUGGGGAAUUUUGGACAAUGGGCGAAAGCCUGAUCCAGCAAUGCCGCGUGUGUGAAGAAGGCCUUCGGGUUGUAAAGCACUUUUGUCCGGAAAGAAAUGGCUCUGGUUAAUACCUGGGGUCGAUGACGGUACCGGAAGAAUAAGGACCGGCUAACUACGUGCCAGCAGCCGCCGUAA